GAACCCGGGCUUCGAGGAAAAUCCUCUGUGCUUCUGCAGAUAUUUAGAAAAGGCGGGCAAUAGUGAUGCCAUGUUACGAGCCUUAAGGACAGCUGAAGUCCUUAAGGUCCCUGAAAAUGGCUACAGUA